GCUAGCAGCCAAUGAUCUCAUAUUUAAGGACAAGUAACCAUGAAGCCACAAAUCUAAUGAAGCUUUUCUAUUUUUUUGAUUUUUCUAUGGAAAAGAAAGGCUAUAUAUUCAGAUGCUUAACCACUCCGGAUCUUGAUAUCAUGCACUUGAGAAUCAGUUGACUGGAGAAGAAAAAGGAUAGUGUGUUUUUUUGAAAAACUAUUUGCAGUGCUUUUAUUCUUUCCAAACUCUCUUUUCCACAAAAUGC
rnacentral:lncRNA from 1 species